CGACCCCAGGUCAGGCGGGAUUACCCGCUGAGUUUAAGCAUAUCAAUAAGCGGAGGAAAAGAAACUUACAAGGAUUCCCCUAGUAACGGCGAGCGAACCGGGAACAGCCCAGCCUUAGAAUCGGACGGCCUUGCCGUUCGAAUUGUAGUCUGGAGAAGCGUCCUCAGCGGCGGACCGGGCCCAAGUCCCCUGGAAAGGGGCGCCGGAGAGGGUGAGAGCCCCCGUUGUGCCCGGACCUGUCGCACACGAGGCGCUGUCUACGAGUCGGGUUGUUUGGGAAUGCAGCCCCAAUCGGGCGGUGAAUUCCGUCCAAGGCUAAAUACGGGAGAGACGAUAGCGAACAAGUACCGGCGAGGAAAGAUGAAAAGGACUUUGAAAAGAGAGUCAAAGAGUGCUUGAAAUUGUCGGGAGGGAAGCGGAUGGAGACCGGCGAUGCGCCCCGGUAGUAUGUGGAACGGUGAGAGCCGGUCCGCCCGAUCUACUCGGGGCGCAGACCAGCGAGGAUUCGGGGGGCGGCCCAAAGCCCGGGGCCUUUGAUACGUCGCCGCGAACGUCGUCCUGUGGAUCGUCGGGAAGCACGCGCGGCGCCCCUGCGUGCCUCGGCACCUGCGCGCUCCUGUCGUGGCCUGUGGCUCUCCAUCGACCCGUCUUGAAACACGGCAAGCAUCUGAACAUGUGUACGAGUCAAACGGCGCGAGUAAACCCGUAAGGCGCAAGGAAGCUUGAAUUGGCGGGAUUCCCCUCACGGGCGGUGCACCGCGACCGACCUUGAUCUUUGAGAAGGUUCGAGUCGAGCAUACCUGUCGGACCGAAAUGGUGAACUAGCCUGAGCGGGGCGAAGCCAGAGGGAAACUCUGGUGGAGCCCGCAGCGCAUACUGACGUUGCAAAAUCGUUGCGUCUGACUUGGUAAUAGGGGCGAAAGACUAAUCAACCGUUCUAAUAGCUGGUUCCCUCCGAAGUUUCCUCAUGAUAGCUGGAGCUGGCGCUAGAAGGUUCUAUCGGCGGUGGUAAAGCAAUGAUUAGAGGCAUCGGGCGUAACGCCCUCGACCUAUUCUCAAACUAGUUAACUAAGUAGGACGGCGCGGCUGCUUCGUGAGCCGGCGCCACGCGAAUCAGAACAGCUCCAAAGUGGGCCAUUUUGGUAAGCAGAACUGGGCGAUGCGGGAUGAACCGGAAAGCCGGGUUACGGUGCCCAAGCUGCGCGCCUAACCAGUCCAGCAAAGGGUGUUGGUCGAUUUUAAAGACGAGCCAGACGGUGUCUGGAAUCGAAAGCGCUAAGGUAGUGUUGAACAACUCACCUUGCCGAAAUCAAACUAGCCCCGAAACAAUGUGAUGGCGGCUUAAGCGCGCGACCCUAUACCGCGCCGUCGGGCCCAAUGAGCUAGGCCCCGAUGAGUGAGGAGGCGCGGGCGGACGCCUGCAAAGCCUUAGGGCGCAGCCCGCGGCGGCGGCCUACGGUGCAGAUCUUGGUGGUAGAUUAGAAAUAUUCAAAUGCACAACUUUGAAGGCCGAAGAGUGGAAAGUCCAUGGAACGGCACUUGCACAUGGGUUAGUCGAUCCUAAGGUCGGCGGAGCCGACAGACAGCGCGUUUCGCUGUGCGCCGAAAGGGGAAUCGCGACGUAUAAAAUUCACUGAACCGGGAUCGUGCGGUUGACGGCCAACUUAGCGGAUCCGCGAAGACGUCGGCGGGGGCCGGAAUGAGUUAUCUUUUCUGUUAACAGCGGUGUUUUUCCACCCUGGAAACGCUCAGCGGAUGUUAGGGUCAGCGGCUGGAAAGAGCCCACCACACGUCGCGUGGGUGUCCGGUGCGGCCCCGGCGACCGGCCCUUGAAAAUUCCGAGACGAGUUGCCGUCACGCGCGCGUCGUACGUAUAACCGCCAUCAAGUCCCAAGUGGUGAACAAGCCUCUGGCCAAUGGAACAAUUAGGCAAAGGGAAGUCGGCAAAAUGGAUCCGUAACGAUCUGGGGAAAAGGAUUGGCUUCUGAGGGUCUGGGCCACGGGCGGAGGUCCAGUCCCGAACCCGUCGCGCUGUUCGGCGGACUGCUCGAAAGCUUACCGCGCGAGAGCGGGUGCGCUAUCGUGCCGGGCCGGGGACGACUUAGAACGGCUCUUUCGGGCCUUCCCCGGGCCGUCGAACAGCCAACUCAGAACUUACAGGACAAGGGGAAUCGACUGUUUAAUUAAAGACAAGAGCAUUGCAUGCUCCCUGCGGAUGCUAACGCAAUUCGUGAUUUCUUGCCAGUGCUUUCUGAUGUCAAGAGGAAGAAAUUCAACAAGCGCGGGUAAACGCGCUUCGGUGAGUAACUAUGCACUCUCUUAAGUAGCAAAAUGCCUGCGUUCAUCUAAUUAGUGACGCGCGAUGUCAAUGAUUAACGAGAUUCCCACUGUCCCGGUCUACUAUCCACGAAACCACAGCCAAGGCGAACGGGCUUGGCAGAAUCAGGGGGAAAGAAGACCCUUGUUGAGCUGGACUCUAUGUCGCGACUUUGUGAAAUGACUGAGAGUGUAGAAAGUGGCGAGCCGAAAAGGCGAGUGAAAAUCCACUACUUUAAACGUUAUUUUACUUAUUCGUGAAUCCCGGAGGCGGGCAUUGCCCCUCUUUUUGCGACCCAAGGCCUCGCUUGCGGCCUAUCCGGGCCGGAAGACAUUGUCAGGUGGGAGUUGGCUGGGCGGCACAUCUCUUAAAAGAUAACGCAGGGUCCUAAGAUGAGCUCAACGAACAGAAAUCUCGUCUGAACAGAAGGGUAAAAGCUCGUUUGAUUCUGAUUUCCAGUACGAAUACGAACUGUGAAAGCGUGGGCCUAACGAUCCCGUUUAGACCUUCGCCCGAAUUCGAAGCUAGAAGUUCAGAAAAGUUACCACAGCAUAAACUGCUUGUGGCAGCCAAGCGUUCAUAGCGAUCGUUGCCUUUUUGAUCCUCGAUGCGGCUCUUCUAUCAUUGCUUGAAGCGAAUUUCACCAAGUGUUGGAGUGUCACCCACCAAUAGGAACGUUCGACUGGGGUUUAGACCGUGUAGACAGGUUAGUUUACCCUACUGAUACAGUGCGCAAUAGUAAUUUCAACCUAGCUACGAGAGGAACCGUUGAUCGCCAACAAAGUUGUCAUCGCCGCUGUUGAAAAGCCAGUGGCGCGAAGUACCGGUACUGCGUUGGAUUUAUGACUGAACGCGCCUCUAAGUGUCAAAUCCGGGCUGUUCCUACGAGUCGGGUUUGU
rnacentral:rRNA from 1 species